rnacentral:tRNA from 1 species
CCGACUAGUUCCGGGUUCGAAUCCCGGGCAACCCAUUAAAAGCCGAGUACUCUACCGUUGAGUUAGCAACCC